UAGUCUCUAAGGUGCCACAAGUACUCCUUUACUUUUUACUUAUUAAUUAACCAAGAGCAAGUAUUAAUUCCUGGAGGAGCAAACAGCUGUGCAUAUCUCUCUAUCAGUGUUAUAGAGGGCGAACAAUUUAUGACACGUUUCAGAGUGGUAUCCGUGUUAGUCUGUAUCAGCAAAAACAAUGAGGAGUCCUUGUGGCACUUUAGAGACUAACAAAUUUAUUUGGGCAUAAGCUUUCGUGGGCUAAAACCCACUUCAUCAGAUGCAUGGAGUGGAACAUACAGUAAGGAGGUAUAGUAAAACAGAUUUAUUUGGGGUUUGGAUCCCAUUGGGAACUGGGUAUCUGGGUGUUGGAGACAGGAGCACUUCUUAAGGUGUUUUCAGUCAAGCCUGCAGCUUUUGGGGAACAUGAUUCAGACCUGGGUCUGUUUGUAGCUGGCUAGUGUGAUUGGUACAACCAGGCAAGGUACUGAGGUCCCAAGCUGCCGGGAAAACGGGGUCAGAGGUAGUCCCAGCACAUCCGGUGGCAGUCCCAAGGGGGUUUCUGUGACCCAACCUAUCAUAGUAUCCUUCCUUGUGUUCUGCAUCUUGACACAGUGGGAUGGUGAGGGCGGUGUGGGUGUGUGCGUUCGCCAGUGAAACUGAGGGCUGUGCCAAUGGGAGUUCUAACUCCUGUUAGGACCACCCACACAGAGGUCAAAGGGUAAACACCAGAUGAAAAGACUAUGGGUCUUCCAGGUUGAGGGUUGAGCAGUAGGCCAACAACCUGUCCUCAUAAACCAGUUAAGUUAUAGAAACACAACAAAGUUGCCAUUUUGGGAAACAGCAUGAUGUAGAGGAAUGGUGAAGCCUUGUUCAUUUUCUAACAUCUGAGAGCACAGGAAAGAUUCAGAUCAGACUUAUUGUAUAUGCUAGCCAUAAACCAAACCACCCACCAUUCCUAAUUUAAAGUAUUCCAUGUAAAAUUAAAUUCAGUGUCCCAUCUACUGUAUGUCUAUCUUUACUCCUUCCAUGCCCAGAGAGAAUGUGGUCCCACUCAAGUUGCCCACUGCCCAUUCCUCAUGCAGGAGACCCAGUGCAGUGCCAACAAUCAACAGGUGGUAAUUCCAGUGAUGAAGUCCUUAUGCUUUGGAGUUACAUGCUAUGACAACUGAGGGGGUGAAAUUUUUAUAUACAUGAAAAUUUCAGCACUGAAGCUUAUUCCUGCCGCAUUUGUGUCAAGUGCUAGAACCUGGGCAGAGAUGCAGAGCUAUUUGGCUGAAUCACCCAGCCAGAUCAUUAUAUUAUUUUUUGACCAACAAGUAUAAAAGGAGUUUAGUGUCUGAGGCAGAGGAAUUAGGAGCUGGAGAUAGGAAUCCUGCAGGGAGAAACCCUAGGAAUAGCCAAGGUAAGGGAAGAAUCUUAACCUAAGUUUGUUUCAGUUUAGAAUAAAGGUGAACUCCAGGAUGGGGGUAAAAUUGUACUAUAUGCAGUGUGUGUUUGCUGCUAGGAAGAGUAACACCAUUUUCAGUUUGGUUGGGAGAGAGAAAGUCACUGUUCGGCCUACUAAUGUGUAAAUGGAGAAGCUAUUCUAUCAACUCCCACACAUUACCAUACACUCUCAUGGUGUAACAAAGAGUAAAUAUAGAUGACAAGUUCAGUCUGCAAAAGUUAGUUUCAGACAGCAUGAUGACAGAGUCAGGAAUACCGUAUUUUGCCCUUUCAAGUGAAAUAAAGCAGGCACUAGGAGCACUGGUAAUAGAAUUAGGAUGAUGGAGAAUGCUGUAGUAGAGAAACCAAGAGCAAAUAUCAAGUCAGUCUGCAAAGCUCUGAUGAUCCUUAUUUAUCUUGAAUCCACUUUAGUAGUUUAAUGUACGUCAGUGUAGUCUUUGUCCCUUACGGACUACUGUUUCUCGGCAGGUACCAUAUGCAGUUUAAUUGGCUAUAGUAUUGCUGCUGGUAUAUUUGCAUUGACAGAUUUUUCUCCAGUUCCUACCAGUUUGUCUUUUGUUCUAAAUAAUUUAGUUAUUGUCAACACAGUAAAAACUUCAGCAUCUAUUUUCUUUCUGGAAAAGCAAAGACUCUCUCUCUCUGUUGUGGUUGUUUGCAAAUGAAGCACAAGAUGCUAAGUGCUGUAGUUCUUGCCAAAUGUUACCUGCGAAUGAUCGUAUCAUACUGUUAUAUAGAGCCCAUAAUUAGAGAAUCUCCAAUCACGCUGCAAAUACUAAUUUAUCAGUUCUCAACCCCCUUACUCCACUGUGAGAUAAAUAAAUAUUCCUAUUUUACAGAGGCGGUGUCAGGAAUCGGAGCCUGUAGCAGAGCUAAUCUCCAGGCAGCCUCUGCAGUACAGCUGGCCUGCAGCAGGCCCCCUGAUUGGGGCCAGCAGGCUGGAUCUUAAGCCAGCAACAGCAGUAGGUCAUUGGCUUUCAACGCUCAUGCCAACCACUGUGCCUGCUCCUUUGUUACCUUGUUCCUCCUGCUUCUGCCUUCCACCCAGUAUUGGCUUUGUCCUACCCCUGCCCAGGGGCGGCAGUGUGGCCACACAGAACUUCAUAGCAACAACAAGGAUUGACCAGAGAUGGUUCUAUUCCAGUGGAGCAGCACCUACAACUUCAGCUACAGGAGAAUCCUUUACCUCUGGUAUUAUGAGGGCUGAAGCUCUGCCACUCAAUUGAUCAGUUCAGAUUCCAUCCUGUAGAGAGGAGUGACACACCCACACCAUACGGUCUUCCAGGAUGUUAUAAGGUCCAUCUGAAAUAUGUUCAAAUGUCAUAUGUUCAAAGGGCUUUGUUGGUUUCCCUUUGUUGGUUAUUUUGAUUGUUUUAUUCCCAUUGUAUUCUCUCAUCUGUCAGCCAGAGAGAUUUAUUUAUAUAUAAAUAAAUAAUAUAAAUGA